rnacentral:rRNA from 1 species
CCUACGGUGAGCAGCAGUCGAGAAUCAUUCACAAUGGGGGAAACCCUGAUGGUGCGACGCCGCGUGGGGGAAUGAAGGUCUUCGGAUUGUAAACCCCUGUCAUGUGGGAGCAAAUUAAAAAGAUAGUACCACAAGAGGAAGCGACGGCUAACUCUGUGCCACCAGCCGCGGUAAUACAGAGGUCUCAAGCGUUGUACGGAAUCACUGGCCGUAAAGCGUGCGUAGGCUGUUUCGUAAGUCGUGUGUGAAAGGCGCGGGCUCAACCCGCGGACGGCACAUGAUAAUGGGAGACUAGAGUAAUGGAGGGGGAACCGGAAUUCUCGGUGUAGCAGUGAAAUGCGUAGAUAUCGAGAGGAACACUCGUGGCGAAGGCGGGUUCCUGGACAUUAACUGACGCUGAGGCACGAAGGCCAGGGGAGCGAAAGGGAUUAGAUACCCCUGUAGUC